GAGGGUGUCUCACCGAACGGUAGCUAAGACCUCGCCAGAACCGCGCGGAAGUGAGGAGUCGCGGCCAAAGGCGCCCGCCGGAGCCUCCUCUCUGGGCCGGACCCCAGCCCGAGCGGCCGAAGGAGCCCCCAGCCCGGAUCGCAGCUGCUGCAGCUGCCGCUGAAAUUCGCUGUGGCCGCUGCCUCUUCCCGCUUUAAUCCCAGACCUCCAGUCAUUGGGCAGCUCCUCAGAGGCAAGAAGUCAACACCAUGGCAACCCGACAAGCCUAUCAAAUCACCGGCUGGCGUGACAGCAGCAACACUGCAGGCAGGAGUGGGCUGGGCAGAAGAGCAGAGUGGCCACUGCGCUCAGGUGUGGAGAAGGAGGAGGAAGAGGAGGAGAGAUGCAUACAGAACUGGAAGAGCCGCAGAAGAGAGUUUCCAGCUAAAAGUCAUCAAAGCCCUAGAUGUUGCAAAUUAGAGAUGCCUUGUGCGCCAGCGGUCGAUGAAACCCAGUCACAGUAGCCUCAGAGCCAAAUUUAGGAGGUUUUCACAAAAGGGUGGGGCUUUCCUUCACCAGUUCUCGCACUUGCUUGAACAGAAUUAAUGCUGUUCUGGAGUUCCAAAAGGAAAAAGGAAAAUGUUGCCCUUUUCGCUUCUAUUGUCUGCCAAAAAAUAUGGCUCAACAUUAAUUUCAGCUAUCGUAACUGACUGCCUUGGAAAUGACCUCAACUUUACCUGAAACUUCCUUUGCCUUGUUCUUGCACAAGUGUGUGCUGUGUAUAAUGUGUGUUCUAGAUCUUGACUCUCUAAAGAGAAGAAUCAGGGGAGACUGGGAAAUGGAUAAGAAGGAAAUCUGUGUGUUGGUCUUGGGCCUGCUUGGCCCCUGUUCUUCCUCAUUUUCCUGAAGAAACUCUUGAGUAGGCAGAUGGAAGAAGAGAGGACUUUUACUCAAAUUUCAGAGCAUCUUGUCAAUUACCAGGAGAGAGAUUGAAACUACAUUUUCCUUUUUGACGUUAAAAAGAAUGUUUUUAAGAAACUCACAACUGUUAUUUCCUUUUCAGCUUAUAAUUUCCUUGUGAAACCCUUGACAAAUAUUUAUACAAGAAGGUAGAAGGCUAUUAUUAACCGUAUACCCCUCGCUAUUACUUAUCUCAUCAUUGAUUUCUAAAUUUCAGAACCCAAGUUUGUCUGUUGAAGUUGAGUGGGACAGAAAGAGAGAUCCGUUUAAUAAUGAAGUUAAUGUGUCAUAUUGAGGAAAUCUUGUAUGAAUUCUAAAAUCUACUCUUAAAUCCACUCCACAUAAACACAAUUCACUAAAUAAACAAUUUUCAUAUUGAUCUAACA
rnacentral:lncRNA from 1 species